rnacentral:rRNA from 1 species
AUGGACAUGGAUCAACAAAGAUAUUAUUAUUACAACAUGUUGAGGCGGAGAACUGUCUGUGUUAUUGUUCUACUCUUGGCCCUCUGGUAUAGAAGCAGAGAUGGUAGAAAAUUUAGAGGUAAAGGCAGGAAGUAUGGUCCAUUAGUUCAGAGAGACAUCUACAGAACUAAUGUACUAAUUAGGCUCAUUGACACAUCGGAUGCAACAUGCAUCAAGCAAUUAAGGAUGACUCGAGCUGUAUUUUACAAGCUAUGUAACAGGCUUAGGCAGAAGGAGUUGUUAAGUGACACAUUUCAUGUUUCGGUAGAGGAACAAGUUGCAAUGUUCCUAUACAUGGUCGGUCAGCAUCACACAAAUUCAUCUGUUCGAUUUUGGUUCUGGCGAUCUAGUGAAACAGUGAGCAGAUAUUUCAAUAUUGUCCUGCGUGCGAUGGGGGAGUUAGCACGUGAUCUAAUUUAUAUUAGAUCGACGGACACACACACAAAAAUCACUAGCAGCCUGAACAGAUUCUACCCGUACUUUGAGUGA